UGGUCUGUCCUGAAUGCUACAAUAUUGGUACUUGAACAACUUCAUAGAUUUGUGCACCGCUGCAGACCUCCAAUUAGUUUAAAAGUUAAACAUAUGACUGCUUGCUGGAACAAGACCUUUGGGCACAGAUUGCCUUUAGGCUGGAAGGUUAGCAGAGAAAGCUCAAGUUUUGCCAGUGCAGAGAUUUGUAAGUCCUCUGGUGACCAAAGGCUUUGCUUCCACAUGUUAAUGGAAGAUGGGAGUCAUAAGCCACCGUGGAAAGGACUGAGCAGGACAGCAGAAAUGCCCCUCCUCACAGUCCAUGGCAGUUUCUGCUGCUCGUUGGUCACACGCAGGGAUUGCACCGAGUUAGCGUAACGUAACCUUUACAUAAAUAUUAACAAUGAAUGUUCCCCUUCUCAGCAACGAGCGGGAUCUUUGCUGCCCAUUGGCUGGCAAACGYGCCUUUAUUCCAUAUUUGAAUCUUAUUUACUCUGGCAAAGCCUCUCAUGUAUGUUGGCAGCUCGGUAUGACUUGGCUGCCACAGCUCAUUGCUGCAGCUCGAAAUAGCUGCUCCAAGCGAGGAAACCUCUGGACAAGGAGYAUCCUCCGGGGAGGCAUUUCAAGCUCCUGUAGCCUCUUGGUGUUACUAGGAGAGCGUGAAGGGACUGGGUAAGGGUGCAGAACUCAUCGUCGCCCUUUCCUUACAGUAAAACAAUCAUGUUACUCAUCUCGCUCUCUGGGAUUGGUUAUUUGUUCACACCCAGCUCGUCCUAGUCAAGAACAUGCAUAGGAGCAAAGAGUUCUUCGUGCUAAUUUUGGUUGCUCUGUGGCUCAGUAAUCACAAUGUAGAACAGUUUUUUACUAAAGACAAAAUCCUCUCGUGCAUGGGACAGCGUAUCUGGCCAGAUAGAGCYUCUUGCACCAUCAGAUUACUACAGAGGAACUACAUAAUAAACAAUUUUUGGCCCUGUGCCUCACUAUCAUACGAUGAUCUCUGGUCUUCCUGCCUUGUUAGCCUCUCCAUAUCAAAUGUUGGACUAAUUUUAUUACAUGAAAUUGAAAGUGGUCCU